AACUCGGCAAAAUGACCCCGUAACUUAGGGAUAAGGGGUGCCACCAUCAGGUGGCCGCAGAGAAUAGGCCCAAGCGACUGUUUACCAAAAACAUAGGUUUCUGCUAAGUCGCAAGACGAUGUAUAGGGGCUGACGCCUGCCCGGUGCUGGAAGGUUAAGGGGAUCUGUUAGAGCAAUCGAAGCAGUGAACUUAAGCCCCAGUAAACGGCGGCCGUAACUAUAACGGUCCUAAGGUAGCGAAUUUCCUUGUCGGGU
rnacentral:rRNA from 1 species